CUAAGAAUAUUCCGCAAUGGACGGAAGUCUGACGGAGCGACGCCGCGUGGAUGACGAAGGCCGAAAGGUUGUAAAGUUCUUUUGCUGGGGAAGAAUAACCGCAGGAGGGAAUGCCUGUGGGAUGACAAGAACCGGCGAAUAAGCCCCGGCCAACUACGUGCCAGCAGCCGCGGUAACACGUAGGGGGCGAGCGUUGUUCGGAAUUACUGGGCGUAAAGGGCAUGUAGGCGGCUUGGAAAGCCUGGCGUGAAAGUCUGCAGCUUAACUGCAGGGGUGCGCUGGGAACUGCUGAGCUUGAGUGACGGAGAGGGAGCUGGAAUUCCUGGUGUAGGGGGUGAAAUCUGUAGAUAUCAGGAAGAACACCGAUGGCGAAGGCAAGCUCCUGGCCGAUGACUGACGCUGAGGUGCGAAAGUGUGGGGAUCAAAACAGGAUUAGAUACCCUGGUAGUCCACACAGUCAACGAUGUGCACUAGGUGCUGGGGCGGUAGCUUCGGUGCCGGAGCGAACGUGGUGAAGUGCACCGCCUGGGGAGUAUGCUCGCAAGGGUG
rnacentral:rRNA from 1 species